ACUAGAUGUCUCCCUCUUUCGUUUGUGAGAAACAAUUCCGAGAAUGGACGAUGAGAGACUGGUCGUCGAGGUGGAAAAAUAUGUUGAAUUGUAUGACCAAAGUUCCCAUCAUUACAAAGACAACUCCAAAAAGGACAUUGCCUGGCGAGCCAUAGCUCUGGAGAUUGGCUCUUCAGGGAUGCGUUUCUCAAAUUACACUGGGACCCACCGCGUGCCAGCCAUCUUUCCGCGGGAUACGUUUCUUUCUGGAGAAGUGAAGAGGGCGUCCGACUGAACAGAGAGAAUGGAUCAAGCGUCAGGAAGUUCACGUGGCACUGCAUGCUUAAAUGUGUUGUAUUGAGUAUAUGCCCAGAGCCAUAUGGAAGAGUAG
ensembl:lncRNA